GAUGAAGAACGUAGCGAAAUGCGAUAAGUAAUGUGAAUUGCAGAAUUCAGUGAAUCAUCGAAUCUUUGAACGUACAUUGCGCCCGCUAGUAUUCUGGCGGGCAUGCCUGUCCGAGCGUCAUUUCAACCCUCAAGCCCCCGGGCUUGGUGUUGGGGAUCGGCGAGCCUCCGCGCCCGCCGUCCCCUAAAUCUAGUGGCGGUCUCGCUGUAGCUUCCUCUGCGUAGUAGCACACCUCGCACUGGGAAACAGCGCGGCCACGCCGUUAAACCCCCAACUUCUGAACGUUUGACCUCGGAUCAGGUAGGAAUACCCGCUGAACUUAAGCAUAUCAAUAAGCGGAGGA
rnacentral:misc_RNA from 1 species